UCCUACGGGAGGCAGCAGUAGGGAAUCUUCCGCAAUGGACGAAAGUCUGACGGAGCAACGCCGCGUGAGUGAUGAAGGUUUUCGGAUCGUAAAACUCUGUCGUUAGGGAAGAACAAGUACCGUUCGAAUAGGGCGGUACCUUGACGGUACCUAACCAGAAAGCCACGGCUAACUACGUGCCAGCAGCCGCGGUAAUACGUAGGUGGCAAGCGUUGUCCGGAAUUAUUGGGCGUAAAGCGCGCGCAGGCGGUUUCUUAAGUCUGAUGUGAAAGCCCCCGGCUCAACCGGGGAGGGUCAUUGGAAACUGGGGAACUUGAGUGCAGAAGAGGAGAGUGGAAUUCCACGUGUAGCGGUGAAAUGCGUAGAGAUGUGGAGGAACACCAGUGGCGAAGGCGACUCUCUGGUCUGUAACUGACGCUGAGGCGCGAAAGCGUGGGGAGCGAACAGGAUUAGAUACCCUGGUAGUCCACGCCGUAAACGAUGAGUGCUAAGUGUUAGAGGGUUUCCGCCCUUUAGUGCUGCAGCAAACGCAUUAAGCACUCCGCCUGGGGAGUACGGUCGCAAGACUGAAACUCAAAUGAAUUGACGGGGGCCCGCACAAGCGGUGGAGCAUGUGGUUUAAUUCGAUGCAACGCGAAGAACCUUACC
rnacentral:rRNA from 1 species